rnacentral:rRNA from 1 species
AUUGAACGCUGGCGGCAGGCUUAACACAUGCAAGUCGAGCGGAGAUGAGGUGCUUGCACCUUAUCUUAGCGGCGGACGGGUGAGUAAUGCUUAGGAAUCUGCCUAUUAGUGGGGGACGACAUUCCGAAAGGAAUGCUAAUACCGCAUACGUCCUACGGGAGAAAGCAGGGGAUCUUCGGACCUUGCGCUAAUAGAUGAGCCUAAGUCGGAUUAGCUAGUUGGUGGGGUAAAGGCCUACCAAGGCGACGAUCUGUAGCGGGUCUGAGAGGAUGAUCCGCCACACUGGGACUGAGACACGGCCCAGACUCCUACGGGAGGCAGCAGUGGGGAAUAUUGGACAAUGGGGGGAACCCUGAUUCAGCCAUGCCGCGUGUGUGAAGAAGGCCUUAUGGUUGUAAAGCACUUUAAGCGAGGAGGAGGCUACUGAGACUAAUACUCUUGGAUAGUGGACGUUACUCGCAGAAUAAGCACCGGCUAACUCUGUGCCAGCAGCCGCGGUAACAC